UUCUAUUUCUCUUAACUCUAGGAGAAGCUUUCUCAACACUCUGAUACAUCAAGCGGAUUUGGAUUUCUUUAACAACUAAGGUUCCUGUUUUUAAUAUUUAAAACAAAAGGCUUUUAACCCUUCUUCUUUAGCUAACAAGAACCUCAUUCUUUUCUUUAACAUUCCCAAAACCUUUACUAGAUUUUUUUUUUCUAACUUCUUUAGCUUACUUCCCCUAGAAUUCUUUCCCUUUCCUUAUCAACAAUGAAUUCACCCUUUUCUUUUAAACACAUCCCAACCCAUGAUAUAAGCGCCCACCAAUCCUAUCCUGUCCGAAAAACGCGAACUAGAACUACAUGAGACACUAUCUCUCUCGUUACGAACCUAACACUUUCUACCAAGCUCAAUGGAAAUAAGACCUCACAAACACUCACAAGUGAUAUAGGGCUUGAAAGAGAGUUUAGGUUUGGGUUCGGGUUAACUGCUCUAAUAAGGAGAGUCAACUACUUGGAUUAACAAGAGUGGUUAAAAUGAGUAAGAAAAUCCAAGUAUUUUAGGGUAUCCAUGUGUUCAAAUUCAAUGCCAAGACAUGAUAAUUCUAAAUCAGAUUCAAGUUCAAAUUGAUAGGGAAUGGUAUUAGAUCCUAACAGUGUGGUCGAGUAGAGCAAUCUAGGCAUGGUGCAGUUUUACUUCAAUUUCAUUGACUACGCAUCAAACAACUAACAACGAGGGCACUGAGCUUAUCUGGUGAACCAAAAUGCUUACAAGGCUAUCUCAUCAUUAUCCCCUAUGCAUAUGCAACAAUCCUAAACGAAAUACUCUACACUCGAUCCUAAAUGCAAUGCAACUACAUGAACACUCUAUUUUUGUGAAAUCAUUUUCUGAAAUUUUUCAAUUUUUUUGGUUUUUUCUAUGCCUCAGAUGAAUGCAGACUCAAGAUUAUAUACAAUGAAACACACACUUCCUGAGUCCUCCCCCAAACUUAAAUCACACAGUCCACUGUGUGAUCAAAUUUGGAAAAGAGUACUCAGGACAAAACACAUCAUAGAAACAAAAUAAAAACAGGAGAUGGUAUAUUACAAUGGUGGAGUGAGGUGCUUACCUCAGUGGAAGAAGGAGCAAAUUUGGUCGUCAAUAGCUGCCUGUGAUUGCUCCCAGGCCAUCGAAGAAUCUCCCUGUUGUGUCUCAGCUUCCGCCUGGGGGUAUUCAACCUCUGCUCCUUCGUCACGGCCAGCACCGCUCUGAUGAUACUCGACCUCUCUUCUUCUGCUGCGGCCAGCACCGCGGUCGAGUGAUUUACUGACAUGGAGAAGUUUUGAUUGCAUAACUCGCUAUACUCGAUCACAUCGUCAUUCGGUCCCUGUAGGGUGUGGUCGAGUGAUUUCCUGGGGUGGGGAAACCAGAACAAUGUCGAGUGUCCUUGAUAACUCCGUGGUCGAGUGUAUCUUUGUUCCCUCAAAGCCAGAAUCUAUUUCCCUUAGCUCUUCAUACUUAUCUCCUGAAAACACUAACAAGAUGCAUCAAAAACAACAAGGAAAAUUAAAGAUAUGUACAAAGAUAGGCAUGAGACUUCCUCCCAAGUGAGCUUGUUUUAGGUCUCUAACUUGACUCCUCAUACUCAUUAAGCGUUUAUAGGCUCCUCCAAAGGAACAGAAGCUCCUUCUGGAAUAAACUGAUCUAUCAUGUAUUUCUUGAGCCGCUAGCCAUUGACUGUGAAGUCUCCAUUCUUUCCAGCUAGAGUGAUAGCACCAUAAGGUCAGACUGCAGUAACAGAGAAAGGACCAGACUAUCUAGACUUGAGCUUGCUUGGAAAAAGCCUUAGGCGAGAGUUGAACAGCAACACUUGAUCACCAACCUUAAAAUCUCUUGAGACUAUCUUCUUGUCAUGGAAAGACUUGGUUCGCUCCUUGUAGAUUUUGGAACUCUCAUAAGCUUCUAAGCGAAUCUCGUUGAGAUCGUUCAGUUAGAUCAACCGCUUCUCCUCGACGGUUUUAAUGUCAAAGUUCAGGAGUUUAACUGCCCACAUGGCUUUAUACUCGAGUUCAACAGGCAAAUGACAGGAUUUUCCAUAGAGGAGGUUGAAAGGAGUCGUGCCAAUAGGGGUUUUGAAGGCUGUUCUGUAAGCCCAUAGUGCGUCAUCGAGUUUAGAAGACCAAUCUCUCCUUGUAAUUCCCACUGUUUUCUCUAGAAUUGCUUGUAUCUCCCUGUCUGAGAUUUCCACCUGCCCGCUCGUCUGUGGAUGAUAAGGAGUGGCUACCUUGUCCUUUACUCCAUGCUUCUUUAAAAGGUUCUCAAAAACCUUGUUGAUAAAAUGUUUCCCUCCGUCACUGAUUACAACUCUCGGGACUCCAAAUCUAGGGAAGAUAAUUGUCUUGAACAGCUUUAACACAACUCUAGCAUCAUUGGUGGGGCUAGCUAUGGCUUCCACCCAUUUUGAUACAUAGUCUACUGCGACCAGUAUGUACUUGUUCCCGUAAGAAGAAGGAAAUAGACCCAUAAAAUCAAUUCCCCAAACGUCAAAGAUCUCAACUUCUAGGAUCGGAUUCUGAGGCAUCUCAUUCCUUCUGCUUAUGUUCCCUCUUCUCUGACAUGAGUCACAUUUCGAGAUAAAUUCUUGAGCAUCCUUAAACAUUGUCGGCCACCAAAAACCAGCUUGAAGGAUUUUUGACACUGUCUUGAACGUUGCAAAGUGGCCACCAUAGGCAGACCCAUGGCAGUGCAGUAGGAUGCCUUCGAUUUCGUCUUCUGAGACACAUCUCUUGUAGAUCUUAUUUUUGCAGAGUGUGUAGAGAUAAGGUUCGUCCCAGUAAAAAUGGUUAAUGUCCUUGAAGAACUUCUUCUUCUCAUAGCUCGAAAGAUUUGGGGGCUCUUCACCACUAACCAGGUAAUUGACGUGAUCAGCAUACCACAGAAGCUUUUCUUCAAUUGCACAUACUUGAUCGAGUGAUUUCCGAAUUUGACCACUUUCUUUAAGUUGCUGAAUUGCCAUUAGCUGUUCUUCUGGCAUGGAGUCGUCAAUAGGGACCUCGUCUUCAAUUCUCAUUCUAGACAGAUGAUCAGCUACACCGUUUUCAAUUCCCUUCUUAUCAACGAUCUCCAUGUCAAACUCUUGGAGCAAUAAGAUCCAUCUCAACAUCCUAGGUUUGGUAUCCUUCUUCGCAUAUAUAUGCCUCAGAGCAGCAUGAUCAGUGUAGACUAUCACCUAAGAGCCCACCAGGUAGCUUCUAAAUUUCUUGAAUGCAAAUACCACAGCUAGCAGUUCCUUCUCUGUGGUGGCAUACCUUACUUGUGCAUCAUCCAUCGUUCUACUCGCGUAGUAGAUCACAUGCAGCUUUUUAUCAAUCCGCUGGCCCAGAACUGCUCCUACUGCAUAAUCUGAAGCAUCUCACAUGAUCUCGAAUGGGAAGUCCCAGUUUGGAGCUUGGACUAUUGGGGCAGUGACCAAAGCUUCCUUGAUUAACUUAAAGGCUGUCAAACAUUCUUCAUCAAAUGCGAACUCGGUUUCCUUGCACAGCAGUCUGGUGAGCGGUCUUGCCAACUUGGAGAAAUCCUUGAUGAAUCUUCUGUAAAAUCCUGCAUGUCCAAGAAAACUCCUGAUGUCCAAGAAAACUCCUGAUGUCCUUGAAAGUAUUUGGUGGCUGUAACUGCAUCAUCACGUCAACCUUAGCCUUAUCAACCUCUAUUCCCUCCUCAGAAAUUUUGUGCCCCAAAACGAUGCCUUCUUUAACCAUAAAAUGGCAUUUCUCCAAGUUCAGCACCAGGUUUGUCUCUUCACAUCUUUUGAGUACCCUGCAUAGGUUCGACAAACACGAGGAGAAGAAAGAGCCAUACACAGAAAAAUCAUCCAUGAAUACCUCCACCAUCUCCUCUAUCAAAUCUGAGAAAAUGGAAGUCAUACACCGCUGAAAAGUAGCAGGUGCAUUACAGAGACCGAAAGGCAUACGCUUGUAAGCAAAGGUCCCAUAAGGACAAGUAAAAGUAGUUUUCUCUUGGUCAUUUGGGUGAAUAGGGAUUUGAAAAAAUCUGCUAUAGCCAUCCAAGAAGCAAUAGUAAGGAUGGUUUGCUAAUCUUUCUAGCAUCUGAUCAAUGAAGGGCAAUGGGAAAUGGUCUUUUCUAGAGGCAGCAUUUAACUUCCUAUAAUCAAUACACAUCCUAUGUCUAGUUAUAGUCCUAGUGGGUAUCAGUUCAUCUUUAUAAUUUUUAAUAACUGGCAUACCUCCUUUUUUAGGAGCGCAGUGAACUGGAGAUACCGAAGUGCUAUCAGAGAUAGGGUAAGUAUCUCCUUUUUCACAACCUCUUUCAAGUUUGGGUUUAAUCUCCUUUGAGGUUUAAUGCUAGAGUAGGAUUCAUUUUCAAGAUGGAUUAUAUGGGUGCAUAAGGUGGGUGAAAUCCCCUUAAUAUCAUCUAACGAGUAUCCUAUAGCUCUCCUAUACUUCUUGAGCUCAGUUAUCAGCAGGUUUACUUGAUCAGUAGUUAGCUCGUCAUUCACUAUGACAGGAUAAGUAGAGUUUAGUCCAAGAAAAACGUACCUUAGCCCUUUUGGUAGCGUUUUCAAAUCUACUUUGGGUGCCUUGAGUUCAGACCAGUCAUCGGAUACUAAGUUGGCUUCAGAGGAGGGGUUGUGAUCGAGUAGUUCGGUCGAGUACACUGAAUGGUCUAUUGGUCGAGUGAUGUGGUCGAGUAUAUUGAUAAGUGUGUAUUUUACAUGUUUUGAGCAUCCAUUUGUCAUCAAUUUAGCAUCAUAUCAUCAAUGUUUCAUACCAUUUCUCAUCAUUUGUCAUCACUUUACAUGUUUAGGAUAGAUUUGCAUGCAUGUUGCAUAUUUGCGUUGAUUUCAGGUGAUUUGGAGUUGUUGACGAGCUAUCUGGAAGAAGCGGGCCUGAUCAUGACAAACCACUCGACCCCAAGGUCGAGUAGGAGCUUCAAGAUCUCAACAGAUCACUUGACCCCGCGGUCGAGUAGAGGACAUCACUACUUCACCACAUCACUCGACCCCGAGGUCGAGUGUCUUCAUCCCAUCACCUGACCAUCACUUGAUCACAUCACUCGACCCCGAGGUCGAGUGUCUUCACCUUCAUUGCCAGACCACUACUCGACCUUUUCACUCUACCUGGAAGUCGAAUAUCACCAUCACCACCACUCGACUGCAUACUCGAUGAUAAGCUUCAGAGCCUUCUUCAUUCCACACUCAAUCAGACACUCGAGCACAAGGAAGAAAAGAAGACUCCAGUUAUUCACUCGACCUCCCACUCGACCUCCGGCUAUUAGGGUUUCGGAAUAUUUGGCUAUAAGUAGCAUGUACUUCACAUUUUCGCAGACCAGUUUUCAUCUAGUUUUAUUCCGCAGACCUUGUGUUCUAGAUCUUUUGUAAUUCAGAUUUCUCUAUAUCUAUUCGGUAUUCAGUAUUCAGCUUUUGUUCUUGAUUUCAUUUACUGUUGUUCAUUCUGUUAUCAUCCUGCUGUUACACUGUUGUUAUCAUGUUUUCAACUUGUUCAACGUUUAUGCUUUCUGUUAUGAUGUCUGAGUAGUGAAUAGGUUUCUUAGGAUGGGUUAGAGUAGUGUAGAAUUCUCAGUAUGCUAGGUGAUUGAGUAUUGAUUGAUAGAUCCCUUCUGGAUUAGUUGUUCUUAAUGCCUAUUGCUUUAUGAUCAACUGAAAUUUGAGCACAGACAUUUCCGCGCCCAAAAGGUGUUCGAUGAAAUGUCUGAACCAAGGUAUUGGUUGCAGGGAGCGUUUUGGCUUUAACUUGUUGAUUCGUAAUGCCUGUUAGAUUAGCUUUCGUCAAUGGUGAUUGAGUCUGGGACUAGGUUAACUUGAGGGUCUCUGUUACGGUAGCACUUAGAUUUGGUUAAUGAACUUGUUGUCUAGGGUUAAUUUAUUGAGCAUGUCAAUCACCUGUGAACUUGUUGUUGAGGAAACGAAACUACUCAAUUACCCCAUCCUCGGGAAUUCUUUAUCUGAUUGAAUUCUUUGUUUACUCUACUGUUGUUUACUGCAUCUUGUUAUCUGUCGCUUAAUUUCUGCAAUUCUUUCUUAUUACUCGACCUCAUACUCGACCACCCAGUUGUCUGGCAAUAGACUGUGCAGUCGAGUAUCUGUGUUAUACUUUCUGUCUGUUACUCGACCUGUCACUCGACCUCACCCAGUGCUGGCAAUAGAGCUGUGUUGGUCGAGUGUUUUACUGUUUCUGUUUGAUUUUCUGUUUUCUGCAUGAUCACUUAGGACUGCUAGAACACACCAAAAUUUGUUAUUGCUUAGCUUGACUUAGUGACUUCUGAUCACAUCUUGAUUGUUAGCAUCACACCCAUUUGGAUUGACAACCUAAAAUACUAUAACGACAUGAUUGGUGUUUUGGGAUAAUUGACUAAAAACCUAUUAUCAAUUUGGCGUUGUUGCCAAUUGGGUGUUUGUUUGUUACAUUUGAGAUUUCAGACUUGCUUAGAUCAAGUUCUUGUUCAAUUUUCUUUUCUGUUACUAACUGUGUGUUUUUCUUGUUGUCUUCUUGAUCCAGGUACACCUCUACUGUAUGCAAACUCGAUCAACAGGCAAUCAGAACCUCCUUUUCAACGACAACAUCGACCGCAUAGCUCGCGAACUCAGAGAAAGGAAAAACACAGUCAACCUUGUACCUUAGCAACCACUCGAAAUGGCUGACGAACAGAAUCAACAAAAUGGCCCUACCAACAUUGGUGCUGGAGAUGCACCACGUUAUCACCGUCAGAGGAAAGGAAUAGCACCUCCUGCUAUCCAGAACAACAACUUCGAGAUUAAGAGUGGUCUCAUCUCGAUGAUUUAGGGGAACAAAUUCCAUGGACUGCCAAUGCAGGAUCCACUCGACCACCUUGAUGAAUUCGAUAGGCUCUACAACCUGACAAAGAUCAAUGGUGUCAGUGAAGACGGAUUCAAGCUCCGUUUGUUUCCAUUCUCCUUGGGCGAAAAAGCACACAUCUGGGAGAAGAAUUUGCCCCAUGACUCAAUCACCACCUGGGAUGAUUGUAAGAAGGCUUUUCUAUCAAAGUUCUUCUCCAAUGCCAGAACUGCAAGACUGAGAAAUGAGAUUUCUGGUUUUACACAGAAGACUGGUGAAAGCUUAUGUGAAGCAUGGGAGCGUUUCAAGGGUUACACCAACCAAUGCCCUCAUCAUGGCUUUACUAAAGCCUUUCUACUCAGCACUCUUUACAGAGGAGUCCUACCACGCAUCAAAAUGCUUCUGCAUACCGCCAGCAAUGGGAAUUUCCAGAACAAGGAUGUUGAAGAAGGCUGGGAAUUGGUUGAGAACCUCGCUCAAUCAGAUGGCAAUUACAACGAGGACUGUGAUAGGACCGUCAGAGGAACAGCUAACUCUGAUGACAAACACAGGAAGGAGAUCAAAGCGCUGAAUGACAAGCUGGACAGGAUUCUUCUUAGCCAGCAGAAGCAUGUGCACUUCCUUGUUGAUGACGAGCAGUAUCAAGUCCAAGAUGGGGAGGGUAACCAGUUGGAAGAAGUCAACUACAUCAACAACAACCAGAGUGGCUACAAAGGGUAUAACAACUUCAAAACCAACAACCCCAACCUCUCCUACCGCAGCACCAACGUUGCUAAUCCUCAGGAUCUAGUCUAUCCUCCACAGCAACAACAAGGUCAGAACAAACCUUUUGUUCCCUACAAUCAAGGUUUCGUUCCUAAGCAGCAAUUUCUGGGGAACUACCAGCCGCCACCACCACCUGGGUUUACACAUCAGCAAAACCAAGGUUCUGCUGCUCCUGAGGCUGAUAUGAAACAAAUGCUACAACAGCUGCUUCACGGGCAAGCCUCUAGCUCCAUGGAGAUGGCAAAGAAGAUAUCUGAGUUACAUAACAAGCUGGACUGUAGCUACAAUGAUCUCAAUGUCAAGAUGGAAACACUGAAUACCAAAGUCCGAUACUUAGAGGGACAUUCUGCAUCUUCUUCAGCUCCAAAACAGACAAGCCAACUACCAUGCAAAGCAGUUCAGAAUCCAAAAAAAUAUGCUCAUGCUAUCACACUGCGUAGUGGAAAAGCACUUCCAACUAGGGAGGAACCAAAGACGGUCACUGAGGACAGUGAAGAUCAAGAUGGGGAGGAUUUAAGUCUCGAGAAAGAUCAAGCUGACAAACCACUCGAGCAACCACUCGAUCUGCCACUCGACAACUUUACUCAACCAACAACUCGACCUAUCUUCCCAGCAGCAUCAACAACUGCUCCAAAACAAGUUGCUGUCAAAAACAAAGAAAAGGUCUUUGUCCCUCCUCCCUACAAACCACAGCUUCCAUUUCCUGGCCGUCACAAGAAAGCUUUGGCAGAUAAAUAUAGAGCUCUGUUUGCCAAGAAUAUUAAGGAGGUUGAGUUGCGGAUACCUCUUGUUGACGCUCUAGCGCUAAUCCCAGACUCUCACAAGUUUCUGAAAGACUUGAUUGUGGAGAGAAUUCAAGAAGUGCAAGGGAUGGUGGUAUUGAGUCAUGAAUGCAGUGCUAUCAUACAAAAGAAGAUCAUUCCUAAGAAGCUUAGUGAUCCUGGUUCAUUCACUCUACCAUGCUCUUUAGGUCCAUUGGCUUUCAAUAGAUGCCUAUGCGAUUUAGGAGCAUCAGUCAGUCUCAUGCCGCUCUCUGUCGCCAAAAGAUUGGGGUUCACUCAAUACAAGUCCUGCAAUAUAUCCCUCAUCCUAGCUGACAGAUCAGUAAGGAUCCCUCAUGGUUUGCUUGAAAACCUCCCAAUCAGGAUCGGUGUUGUGGACAUACCAACUGACUUUGUAGUCGUGGAGAUGGAUGAAGAGCCCAAGGACCCUUUGAUUCUAGGGAGACCUUUCUUAGCCACUGCAGGAGCUAUGAUUGAUGUCAAGAAAGGGAAGAUUAAUCUAAAUCUUGGCAAAGACUUUAGGAUAACCUUUGAUGUCAAAGACGCGAUGAAGAAGCCUACCAUAGAAGGGCAACUCUUUUGGAUCAAAGAAAUAGAUCAGUUAGCCGAUGAAUUACUGGAAGAGCUGGCAGAAGAAGAUCAUCUUAACAGUGCUUUAACCAAAAGUGGUGAAGAUGGUUUUCUGCAUUUGGAAACAUUGGGAUACUAGAAGCUGUUAGACUCCCAUAAAGCGAUGGAAAAAUCAGAACGCUUUGAGGAAUUGAAUGGACCAGCAACGGAGGUAAUGGUAAUGAGCGAAGAAGGGUCAACUCGAGUUCAACCUGCACUCUCGAGGACGUACUCGACCAGCCACUCGACCUUGUCUGCCAACGAAUCUGGGGAGCCGAUCAUUCCAACUUUAGAUGACUGGUCUGAACUUAAGGCACUGAAGGUUGAUCUCAAACCACUUCCUAAAGGUCUAAGGUACGCAUUCCUUGGUCCAAACUCUACUUACCCUGUGAUCAUUAAUGCUGAGUUAAAUAGUGAUGAAGUGAACCUGCUAUUAUCUUAGCUUAGAAAGUAUAGGAGAGCGAUUGGUUAUUCAUUAUCCGACAUUAAGGGAAUUUCACCUAGUUUAUGCAACCAUAGGAUCCAUCUUGAAAACGAAUUCUAUUCUAGCAUUGAACCACAAAGGAGGUUAAAUCCCAAUUUGAAAGAAGUAGUGAAAAAAUAAAUUUUGAAACUGCUUGAUGCUGGUGUCAUCUACCCUAUCUCUGAUAGUACAUGGGUUUCUCCAGUGCAUUGCGUCCCUAAAAAGGGUGGAAUGAUGUUGUCAAAAAUGAAAAAGAUGAACUGAUCCCUACUAGAACUAUAACUGGUCAUAGAAUGUGCAUUGAUUAUAGGAAGUUGAAUGCUCCAUAUAGGAAAGAUCAUUUUCCUUUACCAUUCAUUGACCAAAUGCUUGAACGUUUAGCUAAUCAUCCAUACUAUUGCUUUCUUGAUGGAUACAGUGGUUUCUUUCAAAUACCAAUUCACCCUAAUGAUCAAGAAAAAAACACUUUCACAUGUCCUUAUGGAACUUUUGCUUAUAAGAGAAUGCCAUUUGGUUUAUGCAAUGCUCCUGCAACAUUUCAGAGGUGUAUGACCUCUAUAUUUUCAGACUUAAUCGAGGAGAUGGUGGAGGUUUUCAUGGAUGAUUUUUCGGUCUAUGGCCCCUCUUUCUCGUCAUGUUUGUUGAAUCUUGGCAGGGUAUUGACUAGGUGCGAAGAGACGAAUCUUGUUCUCAAUUGGGAAAAGUGUCAUUUCAUGGUGAAGGAAGGCAUAGUGCUGGAUCACAAGAUAUCAGAGAAGGGUAUAGAGGUUGACAAAGGAAAAGUUGAAGUGAUGAUGCAGUUGCAGCCACCAAAAACGGUGAAGGACAUCAGAAGUUUCCUUGGUCAUGCUGGGUUCUACAGAAGAUUUAUUAAAGACUUCUCCAAGAUAGCCAGGCCGUUAACUAGACUAUUGUGCAAGGAAACAG
rnacentral:sRNA from 1 species